CAUCUACUCCCCCUGCUCCGCCGGGUUUGCCUGUCCUCGACGUUGCAGCAACGGCGGCGCCGCCGCGUGUCCCGGUGGUUCCCUCAGGCUCAGCACUAUUACCCGCGCACUGCACCGCCCCCCCGAGACCAAAGUUGGGCCAGAUAUGGACAAGUACAUCAUUCCGGCAAUGUUAGUGCAAUGCAGCUGAGAAGACCGUGUGCAAUUUGUCUCUAGUUUGGAUUGUCUAAAUUAUACAUGGAUAAAUCAAUAUGACUGGUGGAAUAUUCUGUGCGAUAUAACACAUUAAUGUAAUAUAACGAUUGACAGUCUUUAAUAUUAAAUGAUAUAAUGACAAAUAAUAUAAUGAUAUAAUAAAAAUGUUUAGUACAACAAAAAACGCUCAUUUUAUUUUGCAGCGAAUUAUAAUUGAAUUGUAAUCCCAGUCACAUUAUUGGAUUCAUUCUAGUCUGUACUAUUAAAGUGUACAAAAAUUAUAAACGAGAUACAUUCAACAAAGUGAGAAAACGGAAAUAUUGUAAAUCAUAUUGCGCAAUUGAAUAAUAUUUCUAAUGCAAAAAUCUAAUAUAAAUGUGUUUCAUUAUAAACAUAUUCGUUUCAUCAUGAUUGUAUAUUUUGAUACUGUUCAUGGCACUGAUUACGUUCUAAUCUAAUAAUAUACAAUUUCUACAAGAAUAAAUCUCAGACAAUAUGUUUA